GGAUGUGAGAGCAGUCUGGCUGGGAUAUCCGUCACCCCACUGGCUAGGCAUUGUCCCCUUCCUCCCUCUCUCCUCCAUGCAUGUCCCUCCUGAAGCUGCGUGUUCCCCUAGGUCAAAGAGGAUGACCUUCCCUUACACGGGAGGACCCAUCUUUGGUCAGGGUAUAUGAGCAGCUGUGCUCCCUACUCAAACCACCCAACCAGCUCUCAAGGUCCAUUUGUCCGAGAACGUGAGGCAGUCAUGCUUUCAAGACUCCAGACACAUCCGAAUGAGGCACUAUAUGUGGCCGUCUGCCUUUCUUU
ensembl:misc_RNA 7SK 7SK RNA